rnacentral:rRNA from 1 species
UACGUAGGGUGCAAGCGUUGUCCGGAAUUAUUGGGCGUAAAGAGCUCGUAGGCGGUUAGUCGCGUCUGCUGUGAAAACUCGGGGCUUAACUCCGGGCCUGCAGUGGGUACGGGCCGACUAGAGUGCGGUAGGGGAGACUGGAAUUCCUGGUGUAGCGGUGAAAUGCGCAGAUAUCAGGAGGAACACCGGUGGCGAAGGCGGGUCUCUGGGCCGUAACUGACGCUGAGGAGCGAAAGCGUGGGGAGCGAACAGG